GCGGGUGUGGUCUAGCCUGGUCUAGGACCCGAGCCUUCCAAGCUCGAGACCCGGGUUCGAAUCCCGGCGCCCGCA
rnacentral:tRNA from 1 species